UACGGAGGGUGCAAGCGUUAUCCGGAUUCACUGGGCUUAAAGGGCGCGUAGGUGGGUUGGUAAGUCAGUGGUGAAAUCCCCGAGCUUAACUUGGGAACUGCCAUUGAUACUAUUAAUCUUGAAUACUGUGGAGGUCAGCAGAAUAUGUCAUGUAGCGGUGAAAUGCUUAGAUAUGACAUAGAACACCAAUUGCGAAGGCAGCUGGCUACACAAAUAUUGACACUGAGGCACGAAAGCGUGGGGAUCAAACAGG
rnacentral:rRNA from 1 species